UUUUUUUUUUUCUUUUUACACCCCUACCUGCAGCAUAUGGAAGUUCCCGGGCUAGGGGUCCAAUCAGAGCUGCAGCUCCCGAACUACGCCACAGCCACAGCAAUGCCAGAUCGGAGCCACUUCUGUGACCUACUGCCACAGCUUGGAGCAACUCUGGCUUCUCAACUCGUGAAGCGAGGCCAGGGAUCAAACCCUCAUCCUCACAGACACUAUGCUGGGUUCUCAACCCCCUGAACCACAAUGGGAACUGCGGCUUAGGAUUUUUGAAGCAAUCUUUGCUUUAUAAUAAAUGAAGAGAAUAUGAAUAUAUUUCUUAAUUAGUUUCUAAUUUAUCAGGAAUUCAAUUUGGGAAAAGAAGUAGCAAUUAUGCUGUUAAGAUCUCCUCCACAAAAUAGGUAAAUAUUCCUAUCCAGUGUCCCAAUAAAAUGGACACGCUUCUGAUAUGUUGAUGGAUAGAGACAUUGAUGGAAGGAGACAGAGUGUUUUGAAAUAACAUAAAAGGAAAAAUGCACCAUUUAGGGUUUUCUAAUAUGUCACUAGGGGGCACUAGCCAGAAAAAAAAAAAAAAAAGCAUUGUGACCAUUUUGCCUUUUUUUUCUUUUUACACCACAGCCGCAGCAACACUGGACCCCAGCCACAUCUACAACCUGCACAGCAGCUUGCAGCAACACCAGAUCCUUAACCCACUGAGCCACAGUGGGAACUCCCAUUUGUUAUUUUUAUUUUAUUUUAUUAAUGUUAUUUUUUUUUUGAGGGCCAAACCCACAGCAUUUGGAGGUUCCCAGCAACAGCGCUGCCACAAAACAUAUCAUAGAGUGAUUACAUGGAAACUUCUCUAAAGCGAACAGACAACAACAACGAAAAACUGGGCAGUGCCUCGGAUUUUUCACAUCACCUAGUAGGUCCUCAACAAAUAUCUGUCAAAGAAAUACAUCCUGAGUUAAUUAAUGGGAUGGUGGCAUCUCGUUUAAGCUUUGCAGCAACCCUGUGGGACAGGCAUUAUUCUUACUCGCACUUGACGCAUGAGGACUCUGAGGGGCGGAACAGAUGCAGAGCCUGUGCUUGUCUAAAGAGCCUCCUUACUUCCAGGCCCAGCCUGUCACCUUUUCUCCUCACAGGGUUUACCUAAGCUCCUUAAGGUGGGUCAGGCUCUCAGCGCUGCUCCUCACUAGCCCACAGACCUUGAACGAGUCACGUACCCUCUUCGUUUCCUCACCUGGAAUGUGGCAAUUUGUACCUUCUCGUACCUCCUAUUGUAAGGACGAAACGAGGUGAC
rnacentral:lncRNA from 1 species